rnacentral:lncRNA from 10 species
AACCAAACAAACCAAAUAGAUGUUCUUGGUUUUGUUUUUGAGACAGAGUCUCACUCACUCUGUAGCCCAGGCUGGAGUGCAGUGGCAUGACUUGGGCCCACUGCAAGCUCUGCCUCCCAGGUUCGAGUGAUUCUCAUGCCUCAGCCUCUUGAGUAGCUGGGACUAUAGGCGCACACCACCACGCCUGGCUAAUUUUUGUAUUUUGCAUUUUUUAUAGACACAUGGUUUCACCAUGUUGGCCAGGCUGGUCUCAAACUCCUGGCCUCAAGUGAUCCGCCUGCCUCGGCCUCCCAAAGUGCUGGGAUUAUGAGCAUGCCUGGCCCAAGGCAGAUGUGAUGGCUGGAGCUCAAGCAGCAAUGAAUCAAAAAGUGGAAGUGGAUCAUGAAGUGGAACUUAAACGCUGAGUUUGGUGGAGCAAUGAGACUCAAAAAUAGCCCUGAAGCCAACAGUGUAGAGAGCCAUAUCAGUCAUAGAACACCUACAAGAGAGUAUUUCAGAAGAGAGAAAUAAAUUUGUAUGUUUAAGCUGCUAGCAUUUUUGUGGCCUCUACUAUCAUAACUUGUGGAUGCACCUCCUUCUAACUAAUCUACCUAUCUUUGAGUUUUAAUUUGCUACUUCUCCUGUCCCAUUAAGAAUGUCCCCCUCGUGGCCGGGCGCGGUGGCUCAACGCCUGUAAUCCCAG